GCUCAGGAUGAACGCUAGCUACAGGCUUAACACAUGCAAGUCGAGGGGAAACGAUAUUGGAAGCUUGCUUCCGAUAGGCGUCGACCGGCGCACGGGUGAGUAACGCGUAUCCAACCUGCCCAUCACUUGGGAAUAACCUUGCGAAAGUAAGACUAAUGCCCAAUGAUAUUUAUAGAAGGCAUCUGAAAUGAAUUAAAGGUUUAUCGGUGAUGGAUGGGGAUGCGUCUGAUCAGCUUGUUGGCGGGGUAACGGCCCACCAAGGCGACGAUCAGUAGGGGUUCUGAGAGGAAGGUCCCCCACAUUGGAACUGAGACGCGGUCCAAACUCCUACGGGAGGCAGCAGUGAGGAAUAUUGGUCAAUGGGCGAGAGCCUGAACCAGCCAAGUAGCGUGCAGGAUGACGGCCCUAUGGGUUGUAAACUGCUUUUAUAGGGGAAUAAAGUGAGCCACGUGUGGUUUUUUGCAUGUACCCUAUGAAUAAGGACCGGCUAAUUCCGUGCCAGCAGCCGCGGUAAUACGGAAGGUCCGGGCGUUAUCCGGAUUUAUUGGGUUUAAAGGGAGCGUAGGCCGGAGAUUAAGCGUGUUGUGAAAUGUAGAUGCUCAACAUCUGAACUGCAGCGCGAACUGGUUUCCUUGAGUACGCAUAAAGUGGGCGGAAUUCGUGGUGUAGCGGUGAAAUGCUUAGAUAUCACGAAGAACUCCGAUUGCGAAGGCAGCUCACUGGGGCGCAACUGACGCUGAAGCUCGAAAGCGCGGGUAUCGAACAGGAUUAGAUACCCUGGUAGUCCGCGCGGUAAACGAUGGAUGCCCGCUGUUGGGUCAACUGGUUCAGCGGCCAAGCGAAAGCAUUAAGCAUCCCACCUGGGGAGUACGCCGGCAACGGUGCAACUCAAAGGAAUUGACGGA
rnacentral:rRNA from 2 species